GUAGUACUCUCUCCGUCCGAAAAUACUUGUCAUUGAAAUGGAUGUAUCUAGAUGUAUUUUAGUUCUAAAUACAUCCAUUUUCAUCCAUUUUUAUGACAAGUAAUUCCGGACGGAGAGAGUAUUAC
rnacentral:pre_miRNA from 1 species